CACCUCAAGUCAAGUAAGAUUACCCGCUGAACUUAAGCAUAUCAAUAAGCGGAGGAAAAGAAACUAAUAAGGAUUCCCUUAGUAACGGCGAGUGAAGUGGGAAUAGCUCAAAUUUUAAAUCGCCAAGGUUUCACUUUGGUGAGUUGUAAUUUGAAGAAAGUGUUUAGAUAUUCUGGUUUAAUCUAAAUCCUUUGGGAUGAGGUAUCAUAGAGGGUGAGAAUCCCGUUUAUGGUUAAACCGUGGAUGUCACUUAAUUCACUUUCUAAGAGUCGAGUUGUUUGGGAUUGCAGCUCAAAAUGGGUGGUAAAUUUCACCUAAGGCUAAAUAUGUGCAAGAGACCGAUAGCGAACAAGUACCGUGAGGGAAAGAUGAAAAGAACUUUGAAAAGAGAGUUAAAUAGUACGUGAAAUUGUUGAAAGGGAAACGAUUGAAGUCAGUCAUGCUAAUAGGGAAUCAACUUGAUGGUUCGUUCCCCCGGGAGUGAUCUUUCUUGUGCACUUCCUUGUUUGGCAAGUUAGCAUCAAUUUCGGUUGUCAUCAAAAAAUUGAGGGAAUGUAACUUCUUUCGGGAAGUGUUAUAGACCUUGAUGAUAUGUGAUGGUCGGGAUUGAGGAUUGCAGCGGAUGCUUUUGGGCUAGUCACCUACCUUCUGACGGUUACCUCGCUUUCGAUAGCUUGCUAACGAUUGUGGGAUUCAACAGUCUAGAUGUUAGAGUGAUCUUAUAUUCGCUAAGGAUGCUGACGUAAUGGCUUUAAACGACCCGUCUUGAAACACGGACCA
rnacentral:rRNA from 1 species